UGUCGUCGAUAGUCGUGUAUCGAUGUUUCGCCUAUCGUUAUCAGUCUUAAUGUACACAGCUUUGCUAAAUUCACAAUUUGUACAGAUUUUUGUCGUUUAGCACAUAACAACCAACAAGUUUUGGUGCCAUCUGCAAUGAAGUUCAUAUUUUUUAAACACCAACAUGGACCUUGAUGGAGUUGGUCCGAGAUAUCAAUAACAUCCCAUUUGUUUGCAUUUCUUAAUGUACCAGCCGAUUCGUCUUUUUUAAAUUGGUACAAUUUUUCGCUGCUUGACAGUAUGACCUUGCUACAAGCGAUGAGGGUGUACUAUAGUCACACUACAAUGAAGGUUUAUUGACUAGAAAUACACGUGCUUUAAGAAAUGAUAAAAAGUCGAUACAAAUCGCCUCAUCGAAAUAAACCGGCUAAUUAAUAUUUUACGAGUGGAGUUUUUAUGGUUUUAUGAAUUUGGUUGAUUUCUGCACUUGAAGUUUGCACUCCAAAAGCUGAGUUAUGGGGAAAUUGUUGUCGGUGCAGCACCAAGGAUUUUUUCAACGUCUCAAAACUCAGCAAAUUAUCUGAUCGUGAAGGAAAUGUUCAUAUGUUUAUUUGAAGGAAAUUAUGUCCUUGCCAAGACCUGGCAACUGUUGCAACACAAAGUACAUUAUUUGCUAAAGAUAAUGUUAUUUAAAAGAGUACCCAACUUCAAAAAUGUUUCAAAAUUGUAUUUUGCAGCUGCUCAAAAUUCAGCGCAGAGUCAGUCAUAUUGAAAAUGCUGCCAGAAUGGAAAAAUAUCGCACAAGAUAAGUCUUAAGGAGAGUGCGUUAAACGUGUGGCGCAUUCGUGGAAAUAGGGUAUUAUCCAAGGCAGUCCUAAAAUACUAAAAUAGCGAAUAGUGAAAACCGCGCCUAAAUCUGAUAAAUAUGUACAAAAGGUGAUUAACACAGCAAGCCGUACUGAUUACACAAAAAAAGACAAUACAUUUUAAACAAUAAAAAUUUAAGAAAGUUUAAAUAUGUCUAAUGCGUUUUCUGAAGAAGGAAUUGGAAAACAAAUGGAUCGUUGUGUCUCCGACACAUUAGUUAAAGGAUGUGGUGGCCUUUUUCUUGGAUUUGCCGGGUCGCUGUUAUUUUUUAAAAGACGAGCAUGGCCCGCAUGGGUUGGAGCUGGAUUUGGCAUCGGCGUCGCAUAUAAGACAUGUGAAAAAGAUUUGAAUGCUUUUAAGUGAUAAUGAUCCCAUGAAAAUUUAAAUAAACCAUUUAUUAUUGA